AAUCAACGCUGGCGGCGCGCUUAACACAUGCAAGUCGAACGAGAAAGGGAGCAAUCCUGAGUAAAGUGGCGCACGGGUGAGUAACACGUGGGUAAUCUGCCUCUGGGUGGGGAAUAACUCUGGGAAACCGGAGCUAAUACCGCAUAAGCCCGCAAGGGGAAAGGCGAAAGUCGCCGAGAGAGGAGCCCGCGGCUGAUUAGCUUGCUGGUGGGGUAACGGCCUACCAGGGCAUCGAUCAGUAGCCGGCCUGAGAGGGCACACGGCCACACUGGCACUGAAACACGGGCCAGACUCCUACGGGAGGCAGCAGUGGGGAAUCUUGCACAAUGGGGGAAACCCUGAUGCAGCGACGCCGCGUGAGCGAUGAAGCCUCGGGGUGAUAACGCUUCGUUGCGGCGAGGGACGAUGGUCGACGGUACCUGCAGAGAAGCUGCGGCUAACUACGUGCCAGCAGCCGCGGUAAUACGUAGGCAGCGAGCGUUGUUCGGAGUUACUGGGCGUAAAAGCGUGCGUGGCGGUAGUCCAAGUCUGGUGUGAAAAUCUCCCGGCUUAACCGGGAGGGUGCGCCGGAAAACUGGGCUGCUGGAGUGCGGGAGAGGCAAGCGGAAUUCCUGGUGUAGCGGUGAAAUGCGUAGAUAUCAGGAGG
rnacentral:rRNA from 1 species